AUGGCAGACACUGACCCUCUGAAACCGAGAGGCUGGAUGGAGGUGGUGACCUCCAGAGGGCCCCCGCAGUGCCGGGACCCCUUGCUCAGUCGGGGAAGGAAAAAAGGCACGCGCCUGUACAGCUCCCUGGAUCUCCUUCCUUCCUCCAGGACCCAGGUCCCAGCCCCUCGCAGGAACAAGGCCUCGGGGUUCAGCAUGUUUGGCAUUGGAAAUGGGAAAAAGGCAUCACCCAGAUUUAUUUCUAAACUGCGCCUGGAAAAAAUGUUCAGGGAAGAAUUUAUUUUUGCAAGGACCCGGACCGAGGCGGAGGCCAGGGCAGCGCGUCCCGGAGCGGAGUCCGCGCUCACUGCAGCCACGCGGAGACAAGGAUGUGGACCCCGCGCCCCCGCGCCACACGCCAGCACUGUCGUCUACCUGACGAAGGCCUUCAACCUCCUCGUGGACCGACCCGUGACCCUCGUGAGAGGUCCCAGAGUGGCAGCACGCAAAGAACAGGUAUUACUACUACCACCGGCAGUACCGCCGCGUGCCGGACAUCACCGAGUGCAAGGAGGACAUCUUGUGCAUAUAUGAAGCCGAAUGCAGCGGAGGAGGGACUACAAAGUCGAUCAAGAAAUCGUCAGUAUUAUCCAGGAGGGGCUCAAGGCCUGUCAGUAGAGCGAAGGAGAGAACAACAGGCAGAACCGGGCCAAGGAAGUGCAGCAGUUCACCCAGGUGGCCCCGGCCUACCAGGACCGCUAACAGGCCCUGGGGGCCCACUGUUCUACCGGGAAGUGCCGGGCCAAACAGAAGCAGAGGAUGCUGGGAGAGAGAGCAGCUGCAAAAGCGGCCGCUGCUGCCGCCUCCUGAGGCAGCUGUAGCUGCCCCUGCUGUGUGGCUCUGCUUGACUGUCGCUGUGUUGCUGAAGUAAAACCCUGCAACCUGAAAAA